rnacentral:lncRNA from 1 species
CCUCGCGAGUGACGUCAGCACCUCGGUUGGCGGUUCCUCGCGAGUGUCGUCACUAUGUGCAGUGCGAAGUUUCCUUGGUUACCGACACGUUGACUCGACGUCUCUUCGUGGGUUCUGUUUUUCCUUUCAUCUGGACAUUGGAGCCGCAGUUUGGAUCGUUUGUGAUCGUUUCCCAUUUAAACAACAUCUCUGGAUCUUCAACUAAUGAGAGCAAAGAUGAACGAGUCUCCGGGAUCUCAAGACGUUCAUCAGAACAAGGUUCUCGGAUCUCAAGAUGUCAAUCUGAAGCAGUCACCACCACAUGCUCAACCAAAGAAGAAGAAAAAACGUCUUUGCCUGUGUUUCAAGAAAAGAAAGACGACCAAGCCUCCCGGUUCUCAAGAUGUUGAUCUGUUCCACUCUAUUGAUUCUCAAGUUGUUAGUGUGCACAAUUCUGCUGGUUCUCAAGAUGUUGAUCUGUACCACUCUUUCGGUUCUCAAGAUAGAAAUCGGAACCAGUCAUCACCACAUGCUAUACCAAACAAAAAGAAAAAAAGUCUUUGCCAGCGUUUCAAGCACAUAUUCAGGAGUCAUGAAAUGAAGGGAAAGCCGAGUGACGACGUUUCACAUGUCAUGGAUGCUGAGCCUCAAAUGACAAAACGAUCUUUUAAGGAAGAGCCGCUUUCUGGUGAGUUUUGAAAAUUAAUCUUUUCUUAAAAUAAAUUAGUGAUUUCAUUGACAAGUAUUUUUGCAUUUACAGUGAGACCCCUAC